rnacentral:rRNA from 1 species
UACGGGGGGGGCAAGCGUUGUUCGGAAUUACUGGGCGUAAAGGGCUCGUAGGUGGCCAACUAAGUCAGACGUGAAAUCCCUCGGCUUAACCGGGGAACUGCGUCUGAUACUGGAUGGCUUGAGUUUGGGAGAGGGAUGCGGAAUUCCAGGUGUAGCGGUGAAAUGCGUAGAGAUGUGGAGGAACACCAGUGGCGAAGGCGACUCUUUGGCCUGUAACUGACGCUGAGGCGCGAAAGCGUGGGGAGCAAACAGG